CCUACGGGUGGCAGCAGUGGGGAAUUUUGCGCAAUGGGGGGAACCCUGACGCAGCAACGCCGCGUGCGUGACGAAGGCCCUCGGGUUGUAAACCGCUUUCAGCAGGGAAGAUCCAAGACGGUACCUGCAGAAGAAGCUUCGGCAAACUACGUGCCCGCAGCCGCGGUAUUACUUAGGGGGCGAGCGUUAUCCGGUUUCAUUGGGCGUAAGGCGCGCGUAGGCGGCCGCCUAAGCUGGACCUCUAACCCCGGGGCUCAACCCCGGGCCGGGGCCGGGACUGGGCGGCUCGAGUGCGGUAGAGGAGAGCGGAAUUCCCGGGGUAGCGGUGGAAUGCGCAGAGAGCGGGAAGAACACCGAUGGCGAAGGCAGCUCUCUGGGCCGUCACUGACGCUGAGUCGCGAAAGCUGGGGGAGCGAACAGGAUUAGAUACCCGAGUAGUC
rnacentral:rRNA from 1 species